UCAAGGGAAUUGACGGGGCCGCACGAAGCGGUGAGCAUGUGGUUAAUUCGAAGCAACGCGAAGAACCUUACCAGGUCUUGACAUCCCUGACAACCCGAGAGAUCGGGCGUUCCCCUUCGGGGGACAGGGUGACAGGUGGUGCAUGGUUGUCGUCAGCUCGUGUCGUGAGAUGUUGGGUUAAGUCCCGCAACGAGCGCAACCCUCGACCUUAGUUGCCAGCAUUCAGUUGGGCACUCUAAGGUGACUGCCGGCUAAAAGUCGGAGGAAGGUGGGGAUGACGUCAAAUCAUCAUGCCCCUUAUGACCUGGGCUACACACGUGCUACAAUGGGCGGUACAAAGGGUCGCGAACCCGCGAGGGGGAGCCAAUCCCAAAAAGCCGCUCUCAGUUCGGAUUGCAGGCUGCAACUCGCCUGCAUGAAGCCGGAAUCGCUAGUAAUCGCGGAUCAGCAUGCCGCGGUGAAUACGUUCCGGGCCUU
rnacentral:rRNA from 1 species